CAGAGCUUAGAUAUAUCGCAUGGGAUGAUUUGUAUAUUAUUAGGAGAAAAUUAAAUUAUAUAAUCGGCGGUGUGUGUUACUUCAACUCACGUUUUUCAUUUUUUUUCUCCAAAGUCUCUUUUAGUCGUUUAUAUCAUUUCUUGAUCUCUUCUCUGAUCCGGCGACUCUUCUCUCCUGUGAAAGCUUAUUAAUCGUUUCUUGGUUUUCUCAACGAGCUGCGUGAUGGAGAGAGAUUUUCUCGGGGUUGGAUCAAAUCUAUAUCCGAAAACUGUGAAAGAGGAAACUAACCAAGAUUUAGCCCCAAGUAGAGGUAUGAUGGAGUGGUCAUUCUCAAGCAAAAGCAGUUCUGCUCCUCGGAUUCUUUCUUUUGGGACAUUCCAUCAAGACAGGUGUAGAACUUCAGUCAGUGACCAUUUGCGUCCUUGUGGUGAAACUGAUGUAAACCGGAGAACUUACUACAGCUCAGUUCAGAAUAAGAAAACUUUCUUGGGAGGCAAAAGCUUCAUCAACGGUUUCUUGAACGACCAAACUUUGGGAGGAUCUCCUACCAUAGCACCUCCAGUUUCAGUCUUUCCUGCUCCAACCAAUAUUAGGAACGCAAUGCUUUUAUCUUCCUCUUCUUUACGUAGAGACACAACUUCUUUAGUUGUCCCGUAGUUGACUCGAGCUCCACUCUUUUUUUUGUUUGUUCCAGAUGUUCAUUAAAUCCUACAGGGUCACCACCUGAUCAGUUAACAAUCUUUUAUGCCGGUUCAGUAUCUGUUUACCAAGACAUAUCUCCUGAAAAGGCCCAAGCUAUCAUGUUGCUAGCCAGAAAUGGACCUCAGGCUAAACCGAUUUCAAUGCCUAAACCUCAAAACCCGGUUCAUCACUCUCCUGCGACCACUUACUCUCCAACUUUAUUUCCUUCCAACGGAAUCACUGGACUUGUACCAAGACAAAAAAUGGCGAGCUUAGUAUCCACGUGCAACAACCAAACCGAUGCCUCCAAUAUGGCUCCACCAGUGGGUUUACCGCAAACGCGCAAAGCAUCUUUGGCUCGGUUCUUAGAGAAACGCAAAGAAAAGUAGGUCAUUAACGUAUCGCCUUAUUACGUAGACAACAAGUCAACAAUAGACUGUAGAACACUAAUGUCUGAAUUCUUAAGCUCUCCUUCAGCUCAUCAUCAGCGCUAAGACCAAUAUCCCGUCAUGGUUCUAAAAGGCUUUUUCUUUUUUUCCUCUUGCUAUUUUAAGUAUCUGUAUCUUGUAGACUAAGUUAUAGCUUUUGUUUCUUCAGAUUUGGUAGAAUGUGCUUUGUAAGCAAUUUAUAAGUUAAAUUUCGGAAACUGUCUGGUUUUGUCUUUACUUUUGUUCUUGUAUAUGCGCACAAAAACAUUAAGAUAAGAAGACUCU